rnacentral:rRNA from 1 species
UCCGGUUGAUCCUGCCGGACCUUACUGCUAUCGGGUUGAGACUGAGCCAUGCAAGUCGAGCGUUUUCAAGCUAUGUUGAAAGCGCGGCAUAAGGCUCCGUAACACGUAGUUAACCUACCCUCAGGAUGGAGAUAACCCCUGGGAAACUGGGACUAAUAUCCAAUAAAUGAUUAUGCCUGGAAUGGUUUAUCAUUGAAAGGGCUGAAUACAUGCUUUCAGUAUCACCUGAGGAUGGGACUGCGUCCGAUCAGGUUGUUGGCGGGGUAACGGCCCACCAAGCCUAUAACCGGUACGGGCCCUGAGAGGGGGAGCCCGGAGAUGGAAACUGAGACAAGGUUCCAGGCCCUACGGGGCGCAGCAGGCGCGAAACCUCCACAAUGCGCGAAAGCGUGAUGGGGUUAGCCCGAGUGCUGUCCGAAAAGGAUGGCUUUUCCUUGGCGUAAAAACCCAGGGGAAUAAAGGGGGGGCAAGACUGGUGUCAGCCGCCGCGGUAAUACCAGCCCCCUGAGUGGUAAGGACGAUUAUUUGGCUUAAAGCGUCCGUAGCCGGCUUAGUGAGUCUCCUGUUAAAUCCAAUGAUUCAAUCAUUGAACUGCAAGAGAUACUACUAUGCUAGAGGACGGGAGAGGUCGACGGUAGUCCAAGGGUAGGGGUGAAAUCCUAUAAUCCGUGGAGGACCACCAGUGGCGAAUGCGGUCGACUAGAACGUGCCUGACGGUGAGGGACGAAAGCUGGGGGAGCGAACCGGAUUAGAUACCCGGGUAGUCACAGCUGUAAACGAUGCCGGGCUAGGUAUAAGGGCAGCUACGAGCUGCUCUGUGCGGAGAGAAAUCGUUGAUUCCCGCGGCUGAUGAGUACGAUGAGAGAUGAAACUGGAGGUAUGGCGCGUGAGCACCACAUUGAGAGAAUGCUGGGA